UACGUAGGGUGCAGGCGUUAAUCGGAAUUAUUGGGCGUAAAGAGCUCGUAGGCGGUUUGUCGCGUCUGCUGUGAAAGACCGGGGCUCAACUCCGGUUCUGCAGUGGGUACGGGCAGACUAGAGUGAUGUAGGGGAGACUGGAAUUCCUGGUGUAGCGGUGAAAUGCGCAGAUAUCAGGAAGAACACCCGUGGCGAAGGCGGUUCUCUGGGACGGUACUGACGCUGAGACGCGAAAGCGUGGGGAGCGAACAGG
rnacentral:rRNA from 1 species